UACGGAGGGUGCAAGCGUUGUCCGGAUUCAUUGGGUUUAAAGCGUGCGUAGACGGUUAUUUAAGUCGGGUGUGAAAGCCCCGGGCUCAACCUGGGAAUUGCAUUCGAGACUGAAUAGCUAGGGUACGGUAGAGGGAAGCGGAAUUCCCGGUGUAGUGGUGGAAUGCGUAGAUAUCGGGAGGAACACCAGUGGCGAAGGCGGUUGCCUGGAGCUUUGCUGACGCUGAUGCGCGAAAGCGUGGGGAGCGAUCCGG
rnacentral:rRNA from 1 species